AGUGAACGCUGGCGGUAGGCCUAACACAUGCAAGUCGAACGGCAGCACAGUAAGAGCUUGCUCUUACGGGUGGCGAGUGGCGGACGGGUGAGGAAUACAUCGGAAUCUACUUUUUCGUGGGGGAUAACGUAGGGAAACUUACGCUAAUACCGCAUACGACCUACGGGUGAAAGCAGGGGAUCUUCGGACCUUGCGCGAUUGAAUGAGCCGAUGUCGGAUUAGCUAGUUGGCGGGGUAAAGGCCCACCAAGGCGACGAUCCGUAGCUCGUCUGAGGAUGAUCAGCCACACUGGAACUGAGACACGGUCCAGACUCCUACGGGAGGCAGCAGUGGGGAAUAUUGGACAAUGGGCGCAAGCCUGAUCCAGCCAUACCGCGUGGGUGAAGAAGGCCUUCGGGUUGUAAAGCCCUUUUGUUGGGAAAGAAAAGCAGCAGGUUAAUACCCCGCUGUUCUGACGGUACCCAAAGAAUAAGCACCGGCUAACUUCGUG
rnacentral:rRNA from 1 species